rnacentral:rRNA from 1 species
UCCUCAUGGCCUUUAUGCCCAGGGCUACACACGUGCUACAAUGGAUCGUACAAAGGGUCGCGAACCCGCGAGGGGGAGCCAAUCCCAAAAACCGGUCCUCAGUUCGGAUUGGAGUCUGCAACUCGACUCCAUGAAGUUGGAAUCGCUAGUAAUCGUGGAUCAGCAUGCCACGGUGAAUACGUUCCCGGGCCUU